rnacentral:rRNA from 1 species
UGAGCAAUCUGCCCUUCACAUCGGAAUAACCAUUGGAAACGAUGGCUAAUACCGAAUAUGACUUCGGAUCGCAUGAUCUGAAGUGGAAAGCUCCGGCGGUAAAGGAUGAGCCCGCGGCCUAUCAGCUUGUUGGUGAGGUAAUAGCUCACCAAGGCGAUGACGGGUAGCCGGCCUGAGAGGGUGACCGGCCACACUGGGACUGAGACACGGCCCAGACUCCGUACGGG